rnacentral:misc_RNA from 1 species
CAUGGGUUUUUUUUUUUUAAGCAUAUAUAAGGGGGGUAGAGGUGUUGGAGGCAGACUGAGGCGACGGCAGGCGGACGUCAUGGGCGUCCUGUGGGCUUAGUGGGCGUGCUGCGUGGGCGUUUGAUGGCAUGCAUGGCUUGUCCGUGCUACGUCGUUGGGCGCCUAUAAAAACAUGUCGACGACCGCUCGUGGGGCGACUGUGCGCCGCUGAGGGCACUUUUUUCGACCGGGCUAGACGCGUUUAGUGUGGAACGGCAGUGGGUGUUUUUGGGCGUUCGGCAAGUUUGAUGGCAUGCAUGGCUCGUCCGUGCUACGUCGUCGGAGGCGCUGGACGCACGGGGCACGCACGGCCAAGUACUGCUGGGCGCUAUAGCUGGACCGGCCGCGGGCGGUGCUCGUGCAAGAACUUUAGUCUGCCUCCAACACCUUUACCAGUGAUUAAAUUCACAACCCCCUUGGGCGGCGCGCUACGGCGGGGAUAGCAUUGGGCUUGCAAGGAAGGCAUCGGCGUCGGCGCACGGCAUCGUCUUGAGAUGAUGUCGGGCGUCGGGGUGGGUGUCGGGCGUGCAUGUUCGAAGCUAUUCACGUACGGCGCAUGAGUGGUAUUGGGCUUGCGCGGUUAGGUUGGAUCCCUGCUUCGAGCAGCGACGUCCUAACCCGCAGGCCGUGUCGGUCGCAUCGGAACAAGCAAGCGGAAAAUCCAGGCUUGUCGUCGGACGUCGGUAUCCUGUGCUGCAUACCCAAUGCCUGGGCAUUACUCGCGUGCAAUCGGUCGCCUUUCGCCCCUCGCAUUCGGCGUGCGGGGCGAACCCAAAAGCCGCUCUUGCGUCCCACGCCUUCCCUCGCUUCGCCGUGCGAGGGCGUGGUCCGCGAGCGGCGGCUGGAAUUCUCGGAUUCGGUAGACGCAGCGGGCAUGGGGCCUUCGCCGGCUCCUAUCUGCCCGAAAGAAACGAACGAACGCUCCUUGCGAACGACGGCCGCGCUUCGCCUUGGUCCCGUCUGUCCGUCCGUCGGGCGGCGGGCUCAUGCGGCGCGCGGCGUGCGUCGUGAGGAAU